CUGGUACCCCGGGUCCCGGAGGCAAAUGAGGCCGGGGGUGGGAGAACUCACUGAGGGCCAGCAGGAAAGGGCCGGGUAAAGGCACCGGGACCUGAAGGGGCGUGGGGCAGGGAAUCCAACUCAUAGGUCUCCAGAGGGGCAGGAACUGAGGGAGCCUCCGAACGGAGGGUCCCAAGUCUUGGGAGCCGAGCUUGCAGGGUCUCGGGAAGGGGAGAGCCCGGCUCGGCUGCUUCUGCCCCAUCCUAUCCCCUCCCCCUCCCCUCUCUGGGGCAGGAAGUGGAUUCUCCGCCUCCCCUCCCCCCCAGCCUGGUUACUGGAAGUCUAUGAGGGCAGGGCCUGCCCCUCCCAUCCCCACUUCCUUCGACCCCGCCUCCUCCCUCCUGCCCUCCCCCUCCCUCCAGGCCUCGGUUUAUGGGAACUCCGGCCUCCGGCCCCAAGGUUUCUCUGAAAUCAGCAGCUCCUGCUCCCCUUCCGAGCCCCUCCCACAUACCCUGGGGCCUGGGACUAAGGGACAUCUAUGGGGGUGGGGAAAGGGGAGAAUGAGGAACUGGGGAUCAAGUGACCGCAGGUGGAGCCUGAGGGAUGCAGGGAAAGAAAGGAUGGAAGCAAGUAUGGAGGGAAGUCCCAAUUCGGGGCAGAUUGGACCAGAGGGACGGGGUGGGGGAUGUUGGGGUGGGGGGGGGGGGAGGUCGGGACCUGGGCUAGCUGAAAGGACCAUCCAGUCCAAGUUCUCCAUGUCUCUACAAAAAGGGGAAACUGAGUCCCAGAAAGAAGGACGUCCCAGCUCAACUGUGUGAGCUGAUCGCUGGCUGGGUGGGACUUAGGCCAAGUGGAGGGGAGACGCCAGGAAGGGGGGAGGCAGCAAGCCCACUUUCUUUCUGUCCUCUCAGGCCCCUCCACAUCGCAGUGGCCCAAGGCAACCUUAUGGCCGUGCAGCGCCUGGUCCACCUCUUUCAACAAGGGGGUCGGGACCUGGAUGUCUACAACAAUUUAAGCUGUUCUCCCGGGCAGACACCCCUCCAUUUAGCCGUCAUCACUACCCUGUCCUCCGUGGUGAGGCUCCUGGUGUCGGGGG
rnacentral:lncRNA from 1 species